GUAAUCAAAUUAAAGAUCUUAAGAUGAAAUUCACUUUGGAUUAGGUGAACCCCAAACCCAAUGACAAGUAUAGUGUCCUGUGCCUAAAAGAGAAGUGAAGAAACACUGAAGAGAAGGUGAUGUGAGGAUGAACAGAGAUUGGGUGAUGCACCUACAAGCCAAGGAGCACCCAGCCCUGCCACUGCCACCUUUUGAAUGGAUUCUCCCCUAGAGUCUGUAGUAGGGAUCAAGCCUACUGGGCCCUGGUUCAGGCUCUGGCCUCCAGAACUCUGGGAGAAUACAUUGUUCUUGUCUCUAGCCAUAAAGUUUGUGGAAAUUGGUUCAGGUUGCCCAGAGAAACUUGCCUUUCAAAGCAACAUUUACUCACUUAAAAUAUUUUUCCCUCCUAAUGACCUAGGAAAUAGAAAUAGUUGAAAAUUUGGGGACUCGAGGGGGAAGAUGAGGGAAUUGGGGAUCAAGUACUUCUGCUUCAGUCUCAUUUUGUCCCUAGCUGUUUGACCUUGGGAAAGUCACUAAACCUCUCUGACACUUAGUUUAACAUCUAUAAGAUGAUCAUUUUAAUUCUUAUUUACAGGCUCUUAUAAUAUGAGGAUACAUAAGGUAGGCUGUAUGAAAGUGCUUUGUAAACUUUGGGGGAUUGUAUGAAUACACAAUUGCAUUAUUCUGCAGCAGGAAAGAUUUUUAGAGGUGAGAUUUUUCUUAGAUUUGGGGAAGAGCUGGUGCAGAAUCAAGCAGAAGACCUUUGUAGGUGGCCCCAAAACUCUGCAUUGAAAUGUUUCCUAGUCUAAUAACAGGGAGAAGAAAAAAUUUGUGCUUUAAAAGGUCAUCUUACCCUAGGACAUGAAAUUCUUCCUGGUCCAGGAUAUUUUGUAUUAAAAGAGCUUUGGUCAACUGAUCUGGAUGACUAAGAAUUUUUAAUAUAAUAUGUGUGAGGGGAAAAAUGUGUUUGGGGUUUCAGAUAAUCCAUGUAGCAACAAACUUUGGGAACACAAUCCACUGAUCUGUUAGAAACGUCCUGUUCAGAGCAUCAGCACAUAAGAUUACAUGCC
rnacentral:lncRNA from 1 species